CCCCAUUUUCAGUCGUCAAGGGCGUAAACCCUGCCGUUAUCGUUUUCUCCCCCAACUCCGGCGAUGCCGUUUCUCCUCCUCUCCCUCCGCCCCUCCACUUCCCCCCGCCUCCCGCUCCGCCGCCUCCUCCUUUGCCGCUCCUCCUCCGCCGCCUCAGCCACCCUCUCCACCUCGCUCGCCGCGUACCACGCCUCCUUCGCCCGCCGCAUGGCCCUGGCCGGCAUCCACCCCCACCACCGCAUCGCGGUGGGGGUCUCUGGCGGGCCGGAUUCCAUGGCGCUGUGUGUGCUCGCAGCAGCAUGGAAGAAGGCGGCGGAGGGUGGGUCGGGGAGGAAAUCCGGGGAGGAGGUCUCUAUCGCCUCGCGGUUCGUGGACGGACUCCUGGGGGUCGUCGUCGACCACGGGCUACGGCCCGAGAGCGCUGAGGAGGCGCAGCUAGUGCGGGACCGCGUGCGUGGCAUGGGUGUUCAAUGCGAGAUUGCUAAAUGUGAGUGGCCAGAUGGUCGCCCGAAGCAAGGGCAUGUGCAAGAGGCGGCCCGUGAAGUGAGGUACAGAAAACUGUUGGAUAUUUGUAUAAAGCAACAAAUAGGAAUCUUGCUUAUUGCACACCACUCUGAUGACCAGGCAGAACUCUUUGUUCUCAGACUAUCUCGCAACAGUGGGGUUCUAGGGCUUGCUGGCACAGCCUUUGUGUCUCAAUUGUUUGCACCUAAUUUGAAAUAUGAUGGAGAUAAUUUUCAACGGUAUGGCAUUCUUCUUGUGCGGCCCAUGCUUGAUUUUUCUAAAGAUGACAUGUAUAAGAUAUGUCAAUGGAGUAAUCAAUCCUGGGUGGAAGAUCCAACAAAUAAUAGUAUGCUGUAUGUUAGAAACCGAAUUCGGGCAUCUCUAAGAAAUUUAUCCACCGAAGGUACCUUUCUGUCAGGAGUUCACAAACUGAUCAAUGCAUGCCGGUUGACACGAACAUAUAUUGAUAGUGCCUGCAGUAUGAUUGUAAAGCAAUCUGUGACAAUUUUGGAGUAUGGAUAUGCUGUUAUUGACAUUGAAAAACUCGAUCCAUUAAAUGUUGACGAUCUUUGUCUUGCACAAUAUUUAACAUAUAUCUUGCAGUUUGUUUCACAAAGGCACAGGCCAGUUCGUGGUAGAUCUGCUCGAUUGCUCAUGGAUUAUAUCCGUACCAUUCCAUGCAAGGCUGCCCUUACUGUAGCUGGUUGUUACCUUUGUGCUGCUCCAAAGUCUAAAGGUACAAAAGUACUAGUUUGUUGUUCUGUUGACUUGAUGGAUUCAUCUUCUGUUGAGUUGUCCUACAAGUGUUCAUAUGAAGAGCAGGCACCUUCAGUACCUGAGAUUGAUCAGAUGGUCCUUGAAGCACGUUUACACUCUAAUCACGUUAUACAGAAGUGUUCAAGCAUACCUUUUUUGUAUUCUAAAUCUUCCAUAGAUGUUAUGAGCAAAGCAAAAGAUCUCAACAUAAUAGAUGAUUUUACAUUAAAAAAUCUCUGUUUCUUGCGAGCAGAAGAAUAUGAUAAGUUUAUUACAAAAGAACAUAAACAUGAAGAACAGGGCCUGGAGAAAACAAAAUUCCCAGAUUGUAAUGUUUUGAGAUUUUGUCCUGGUGAAACAUGUCACUUCAUGAGAAGAUUCUUGAUUACAUGGAAAGCUCUGGAAGAUGUUGUCAAUGGAAUAUGUUUGCAUGACAAUAAAGGAUAUAUUUCCAAGUAUUGUACUGUGAAUCAGGAUGUAAGUCUUGAAAUUCGGCACAUGGUUGAUACAGAUUGGUUGUUCCUUGCUGAAGUUUCUAACAUCUGUUCAGUGGAAGUGAACCUGAAUGAUUCAAAAGCUUCCAGUAGCAAGAUGGAGAUUGAUAAUGACCUGCAGCACUCCAGAUACUUGCAGCGGUCAGCACAGAAGGCUCUUCAGAUCCUUAGAUCUAUUCCAGCUGCUGCAAGACGAACACUACCAGUACUAUCCAAUUCUCAAGGUGACAUAAUGUGUAUACCCAGUAUUGGUUUCAGAUGUUGCCCUAGCCUAUCCAUAGAAGCAGUAUUCUGUCCAAGAGUACCUCUCGGUGGAGGAUACAGUUCAUAUCUAUGAUUGCUUGAGCUUUACUUUGGACAAAUGUAACAUCGGGUGCAUACUCAUGGUUGGGACAUGAGCAACUUCUUGUGGUGAAUGAUGCAAACUGUCCAAGUCAUGCCAAAGUUUUGGAUGCUAAACAGUCUUUGCAUGCCACAACAUUGUGUGAACAAACGUCAAAUGGAAACUGCUUAAAAGCUUGUUCAAAUGGCAGAGGAUGGAUGUCCAUCUUAGGGCUCAAUAGUCUUCUGUAAUCGGUGUCAAAUGGAUGUUCAGUCGAUAACAUUUCCUUAGGCUUCCCCACGGCAGACAAGCUUGGUGAGAAGGAAUUGUGUACAGCAGGGGGAAAUCAUUACAUCAAUUAGAGGUUACCCUGAUAAAGAUACUUUGUUAGUCAUGUACAACUGGAUUACAUAAUCACACGGAAGGUACACAACAUAUAUAAUUAUACAUCCCACUAAACGGGCCAGUUGGAUUAAUAGCGAUCCUGAGUUCCUUAGUUUACUCUUCAUCGCCGUCAAUGUUGAUAACUUCAAUCAGCAGGGCUGGCAGAUGGCAGCACAAUGGGUUCAUCAUCACUACCUAAAGGUAGCUGUUGUGAACAAGGGUAUAUUAAUAAAAGGAUGAGUAAUCAGGACACCGGGUAUGCUGGAUAAGGGAAGACGUAUUAGGGUCCAGUCCCAAUGACAUGCCAUGGAUAUUAUUUGUUGGGUUGAUCUCUGGUACAAGUGGAAAGUGAUCUUUUUACCAGUAUACAAGGUGGUUUCUUCCAAAGGUUGCCGGAGCUUGUAGCUUGUCACCUUGGGCUGGAGGAAUGAUACCAAUAUGUUACCCUACCGAACAUUUUGACCACAUCAAUGCGUAUGAAAUUUUAUAAACCAGUAUGGUGUGUUGUAUUUUGAAGGAUUAUAUUGUCGUUCUGAUCCUUCUAUAACGCUCUAUAGCUGAGUUAGAUUUUAGAGCAUGUACUAUAUAUACUCUCAUUUAUUGUGUUUGUCUGAGGAAGUUAUU